rnacentral:rRNA from 1 species
UACGGGGGGGGUAAGCGUUGUUCGGAAUUACUGGGCGUAAAGCGCACGUAGGCGGCUUUGUAAGUUAGAGGUGAAAGCCCGGAGCUCAACUCCGGAACUGCCUUUAAGACUGCAUCGCUUGAAUCCAGGAGAGGUGAGUGGAAUUCCGAGUGUAGAGGUGAAAUUCGUAGAUAUUCGGAAGAACACCAGUGGCGAAGGCGGCUCACUGGACUGGUAUUGACGCUGAGGUGCGAAAGCGUGGGGAGCAAACAGG